ensembl:lncRNA
AUCAUGAGCCACUGAUGCGUCAUCAUCUGUGCAAGAGAAAGGGAAGGAUGGCAACUCAUGGAGGGGGAUAUGGGUGGGACUGAGUAAAACUCACAGCCUGCCCUGCAGGUGUGCCUAGACCCCUAACACAUCUUGAGUGCCAUGGGAGCGGGUCCCUCAUGCAAAUGUCUUUUGUUAAAUGUGCACCUUUAGAACAAAGGUUGAGGCCCAGAGCCCAGACGGCUUGAGGUCGUGUUGACCCAGAUGUUUCUGUCCAGCUUGGAAUAGUGACACCACAAGUGGGAAUCUCUUAAAGGCCCCUGAUGAUGAUAGCAACAAUGAAGAUGACAAUAAAGGAGGUGAUGAUGAUGAUGAUAAUGUGCCUUUGUUCUCCAGUAAUUCCCAAUUUCCUCUAUUUCAUCUUUUCUUAGCCUAGACCCAGAAGAGCUAGAAAGUGGACCAAAAGCCUCCUUCCUCCCAGGAAGCACAAUGAAAGCUAAGAGGCAAAGAAAUGAAAAGAAUGAGAAUGCUCUACAGACAUCACAUCAGAAAGAAAACACUCGCAUGGGCCAGUAUGGAGUGGACAGAGGAACAGGAGUGACAGAGUUCAGGGGCAGAGGAAGAAGACACGGACCAGAUGAGCACUAUUAUUCAUGAGAUACAACUCAUCAUGUACUUCGGAUGAACAAACAGCGAGGGGUGUUUUUAGUUGACUGCUGCUGCACAAUUAUCACAAGGAAGAAAAUGAAGCAGUAUGCUAUUUUGGGGUUUCAUCAACGUGAAGCUGGUUGUAAUUUCAAUUUGUGAGAUAUGGUGAGGAAAAUGAAAGUGGGGGAAGGGAUGGUGAGGAGGUGAAUGGGAAGGGAAGAGCGAAAUGGGGUAUGAUGUUCAUUAUAAAACCUACGCGACAUUAUAAAUUUUUGACUUGUAGGUCAAAGCCAUUUGAAAUAUGUUAAGGUCUGAGUCUUAAAUGAUUGACUCAUCUGGUAUAACUUGUAAUAAGAUGAAUGCUAUGUUAAUGUCUUAUUAGAACAGAAUCAUUGAUGGGGGCGCCUGGGUGGCUCAGUCGGUUGAGCGUCUGGCUUCGGCUCAGGUCAUGAUCUCACCAUUAGUGAGUUUGAGCCCUGCGUCGGGCCCUGUGCUGACAGCUCAGAGCCUAGAGCCUGCUUCAGAUUCUGUGUCCCCUCUCUCUCCACCCCACCCCUGCUUGUACUCCGUCUCUGUCUUCCAAAAAUGAAUAAACAUAAAAAUAGAAUAAAAUUUAAAAAAGAACAGAAUCAUUGGAAACAGUGCCAAAGACUAUUUCUGUGGAUAUUUUCAUAAGACAGAUCUGGGUGGAAAUGGUGAUUUGCCUCCUCUGAAGAUCCUACAGAUCUGAGAGCCUUUGGACACUUGGAUACUAUGCUAAGUAAGUGUUAUGUACUUCAUUUAAAAACAUAUCCUAAUGAUCAGCAAGGAGCUCCUUAUUCUAACCUAAGUUAUAUAAUAGAAGGUGAUUUUUAUUAUUCUGACAAUUUUGGGGAGGAAAAAUAAUUUCCCUCUACCCUUCUGAGUUCUUGGCUGAGACCGUUGUAAUAGAUUAACAGGAGAAAAACAAAUUUAUUAACAGGUAUACCUCAUGUAUACACAGGAGACACUCAGGAACAAUGAAUAACUCUCUGAGGUGUCUUUAGAAUUCAGGAUUAAAUGCUAUCUUAUAGGAAAAGGGGAGCAGAGAUAUAGGCCUCUUGGGGGAAAGUGAAUGAAUUUUUAGGAAAGAUAA